rnacentral:tRNA from 1 species
GGGUUGCAUAGUGGCAGGGCAUCUAACUCUUAAUCAGCGGGUCGUAGGUUCGAGCCCUACAUCACCCACCA